rnacentral:rRNA from 1 species
CCUACGGGAGGCUGCAGUGAGGAAUAUUGGUCAAUGGACGAGAGUCUGAACCAGCCAAGUAGCGUGAAGGAUGAAUGCCCGAUGGGUUGUAAACUUCUUUUAUAUGGGAAUAAAACGUUCCACGUGUGGGAUUUUGUAUGUACCAUAUGAAUAAGGAUCGGCUAACUCCGUGCCAGCAGCCGCGGUAAUUCGGAGGAUCCGAGCGUUAUCCGGAUUUAUUGGGUUUAAAGGGAGCGUAGGUGGAUUGUUAAGUCAGUUGUGAAAGUUUGCGGCUCAACCGUAAAAUUGCAGUUGAAACGGGCAGUCUUGAGUACAGUAGAGGUGGGCGGAAUUCGUGGUGUAGCGGUGAAAUGCUUAGAUAUCACGAAGAACUCCGAUUGCGAAGGCAGUUCACUGGACUGCAACGGACACUGAGGCUCGAAAGUGUGGGUAUCAAACAGGAUUAGAUACCCCUGUAGUC